AGUGAACGCUGGCGGUAGGCCUAACACAUGCAAGUCGAACGGCAGCACAGUAAGAGCUUGCUCUUACGGGUGGCGAGUGGCGGACGGGUGAGGAAUACAUCGGAAUCUACUUUUUCGUGGGGGAUAACGUAGGGAAACUUACGCUAAUACCGCAUACGACCUACGGGUGAAAGCAGGGGAUCUUCGGACCUUGCGCGAUUGAAUGAGCCGAUGUCGGAUUAGCUAGUUGGCGGGGUAAAGGCCCACCAAGGCGACGAUCCGUAGCUGGUCUGAGAGGAUGAUCAGCCACACUGGAACUGAGACACGGUCCAGACUCCUACGGGAGGCAGCAGUGGGGAAUAUUGGACAAUGGGCGCAAGCCUGAUCCAGCCAUACCGCGUGGGUGAAGAAGGCCUUCGGGUUGUAAAGCCCUUUUGUUGGGAAAGAAAAGCAGCAGGUUAAUACCCCGCUGUUCUGACGUUACCCAAAGAAUAAGCAACGGCUAACUUCGUG
rnacentral:rRNA from 1 species